rnacentral:rRNA from 1 species
GACUGAUAAGUUAGCUUUUUAUAUGAGAUAUUAUAUUUAGUUUAAUAAUUUAAAAAUUAGUGGUUUAAUAUUAAUUUUUUUUUAUACAUAUUAUAUUGGUAUAUUAUUCAUUUUUUUUAGACGAGGAUUAGAUACCCUCUUAUAUAAAUGAUUAGUAUUUAUUUGUUUCUCAGUGUAGAUAAACUGAAAGAAAUUGGCAGUUAAUUAUAUUUUUCUAGGGGAUUGUGUGGUUUAAACAGAUGAUCCACUUAUUAUAUUUCCUAUUUUUUGUUGGUGUAUAUCCGGUUAAUAAACAAAAAAUAAUUAUUUUUUGUUUAAAAUAUUUUUUUAUCCAGGUCGAUAUGCUGCUUAUAAAUAGGUGCUUAUGCAAUACAGUUUAAAUUAUAAUAAUGAAAAUGAUUAUUAUUUAGGACUUAGUAGUAAUAAAAAAUAAUUAUGUUUUUGUGAAUUAUUGAUUUGAUUAAUGUACACAUCGCCC